GAGUGAGGCUGGAGCUGCUCGGGGCUGGCUUUGUGUGGAUACACACGGACACCUUCCGUGGUGUGUGUGUGUUACUCCUCUUCCCCGGUUUUUAUUGGAAGCUGAGAGCGCUGCGAGGGGAAACAGCUCCCGUCCACGUUAGUUUAAAUGGUUAAAAUACGGGUUUGCACUUCAAAAGGGUCUCUGAGGAGUUCUGCCCUUUUCUCUCCGCAUAGUCCUCUUCCAGCCCCCAGAACUCAGAAUUGUAAAACUGAGAGAAAAGAAACAAAAUAACAUCUCCGAGCAAGUAAUCUGUUCCAGAUUUUAGUACGCGAAAGUCGCAGGACCUAGACUUUGAGCUGGCGGCUGAUCUUUUUCCCCUCCUUCGGUCUUCAAGAACAGCCAAAAUAACCGAGAGGAACGCCCACAGGCUCCAGCUAUUCCAGAUUUCUGACUUUUUUUUUAAAUAUAGAUAUUGUUAUUAUUUACUUAAGGAGAGCAAUCAGGUUCCUCGAAUUUCCUUCUCUUUCUAGUUUCUUCUUUUAUUUUCCUUGCUUUGGCCAGAAGUAACCAGGAGACCAGCCUAUUAUUUUCUGCAGUUGUUUACUCAUUCUGUAGAUGGUGCUUGUUCCCAGGGCUCUGAGCCUCUCUAUAAUUAAACCCAUUUUAAUUGUUAGGUUAGAAACGUCAUUUCAGGGGCUUUCCAAGAGUUACCGAGAAAGCCGGCUGAGAUAACUAUUUCUCUCCUUAGUCGCUCCCAGCCUGGUUUUCAACCCGGUCCCUCUCCAUUGGCCGAUGAAGGUGCAAGGCUCAGCAGAGGGCUCUGUGCGGGACAGCCCCCACCACUUUUGCAUUAUUCGCUUUCCCGUGUGCCUUUGUUUUGGAAACUUGGGGUUUAAGGUUGCGCAUUUCCACGGAUCAAGCAGCGAAAGCUGAAGCCGAGAAGGAAUUUUUUUCCAGUGAUUUAGCUUGGCAAACCCCGAUUCCAUGGUGGUCUGCUUUGCAUUGGCUGCGCACAUGCUCAGAUCAGGAAUUUAGCUACUCACCCCACCUCGUGGCUAAAAGUCAGAGCCCUCCGGGCCAGAGUGGGAAUUUGUGUGGGCAUGAAUUCACACUGAGCAGAGGAAUGAAAAAAUCGGAGCCUUGCACCUUCCACCAGAGACGUGCCAACACUUUGAAAGAUGCAACUGAACAAAGAUACGUAAAUGAAUAAAAUGAAAGUCAAUUAUUAAAGAAGAUUACUGAAAAUGUGAA